rnacentral:lncRNA from 1 species
AGGCGUGGUCGGUGGUGUUACAUUCACGCUGUUGCAGGCGUGCAGGUCGGUGGUGUUACACACAUUCACACUGUUGCAGGCGUGCAGGUCGGUGGUGUUACACACAUUUGGGCUGUUGCAGGCGUACAGGUCAGUGGUGUUACACACAUGCUGUUGCAGGAGUACAGGUCGGUGGUGUUACACACAUUCAUGCUGUUGCAGGCGUGCAGGUUGGUGCUGUUACACACAUGCUGUUGCAGGAGUACAGGUCGGUGGUGUUACAUGCUGUUGCAGGCGUGCAGGUCGGUGGUGUUACAUUCACGCUGUUGCAGGCGUGCAGGUCGGUGCUGUUACACACAUUCCUGCUGUUGCAGGAGUACAGGUCGGUGGUGUUACACGUGCUGUUGCAGGUGUGCAGGUCGGUGGUGGUACACACAUUCAUGCUGUUGCAGGAGUAUAGGUCGGUGGUGUUACACACAUUCACGCUGUUGCAGACGUGCAGGUCAGUGCUGUUACACACGCUGUUGCAGGCGUGCAGGUUGGUGGUGUUACAUUCACACUGUUGCAGGCGUGCAGGUCGGUGGUGUUACACACAUUCAUUCUGUUGCAGGCGUGCAGGUCAGUGUUACACACAUUCACGCUGUUGCAGGCGUGCAGGUCGGUGGUGUUACACACAUUCACGCUGUUGCAGAUGUGCAGGUCGGUGCUGUUACAUUCACGCUGUUGCAAGCGUGCAGGUCGGUGGUGUUACAUUCACGCUGUUGCUGGCGUGCAGGUCGGUGGUGUUACACACAUUCACACUGUUGCAGACAUGCAGGUCGGUGCUGUUACACACAUUCAUGCUGUUGCAGGCGUGCAGGUCGGUGGUGUUACAUUCACACUUGCAGGCGUGCAGGUCGGUGGUGUUACACACAUUCAUGCUGUUGCAGGCGUGCAGGUCGGUGGUGUUACACACAUUCACACUGUUGCAGGCGUGCAGGUCGGUGGUGUUACAUUCAUGCUGUUGCAGGCGUGCAGGUCAGUGGUGUUACACACAUUCACGCUGUUGCAGGCAUGCAGGUCGGUGGUGUUACACACAUUCACGCUUUUGCAGGCGUGCAGGUCGGUGGUCUUACAUUCAUACUGUUGCAGGCGUGCAGGUCGGUGGUGUUACAUUCACACUGUUGCAGGCGUGCAGGUUGGUGUUACACACAUUCACACUUGCAGGCGUGCAGGUCGGUGGUGUUACACACAUGCUGUUGCAGGCGUGCAGGUCGGUGGUGUUACACACAUUCAUGCUGUUGCAGGCGUGCAGGUCGGUGGUGUUGCACAUUCAUGCUGUUGCAGGCAUGCAGGUCGGUGGUGUUACAUUCACG